CAGAGGGAAUUCCCGGUGUAGCGGUGAAAUGCGUAGAUAUCGGGAAGAACACCAGUGGCGAAGGCGNUCUGCUGGGCCAUUACUGACGNUCAUGGACGAAAGCCAGGGGAGCGAAAGGGAUUAGAUACCCCUGUAGUCCUGGCCGUAAACGAUGAACACUAGGUGUCGGGGGAAUCGACCCCUUCGGUGUCGUAGCUAACGCGUUAAGUGUUCCGCCUGGGGAGUACGCACGCAAGUGUGAAACUCAAAGGAAUUGACGGGGGCCCGCACAAGCGGUGGAGUAUGUGGUUUAAUUCGAUGCAACGCGAAGAACCUUACCAGGGUUUGACAUCCUGCGAACCUCUUAGAAAUUUGAGGGUGCCUUCGGGAAUGCAGUGACAGGUGGUGCAUGGCUGUCGUCAGCUCGUGUCGUGAGAUGUUGGGUUAAGUCCCGCAACGAGCGCAACCCACGUUUUUAGUUGCCAGCAUUUAGUUGGGCACUCUAGAAAGACCGCCGGUGAUAAACCGGAGGAAGGUGUGGAUGACGUCAAGUCAUCAUGCCCCUUACACCCUGGGCUACACACGUACUACAAUGCUACGGACAAAGGGCAGCAAACUCGCGAGAGCUAGCAAAUCCCAUAAACCGUGGCUCAGUUCAGAUCGUAGGCUGCAACUCGCCUACGUGAAGUAGGAAUCGCUAGUAAUCGCAGGUCAGCAUACUGCGGUGAAUACGUUCCCGGGCCUUGUACACACCGCCCGUCACACCAUGGAAGUUGGCCAUGCCCGAAGUCGUUACUCCAACCCUUGUGGAGGAGGACGCCGAAGGUGGGGCUAAUGACUGGGGUGAAGUCGUAACAAGGUAGCC
rnacentral:rRNA from 1 species